UACGUAGGGUGCAAGCGUUGUCCGGAAUUAUUGGGCGUAAAGAGCUUGUAGGCGGUUUGUCGCGUCUGCUGUGAAAUUUCGGGGCUCAACCCCGAACUUGCAGUGGGUACGGGCAGACUAGAGUGUGGUAGGGGAGACUGGAAUUCCUGGUGUAGCGGUGAAAUGCGCAGAUAUCAGGAGGAACACCGGUGGCGAAGGCGGUCUCUGGGCAUUACCUGACGCUGAGGAGCGAAAGUGUGGGGAGCGAACAGG
rnacentral:rRNA from 1 species